GCGGGGAGAGCGUCAGACUGAAGAUCUGAAGGUCGCGUGUUCGAUCCACGUUCACCACA
rnacentral:tRNA from 1 species